rnacentral:rRNA from 1 species
AUACGUAGGGGGCAAGCGUUAUCCGGAAUUACUGGGACGUAAAGGGUGCGUAGGUGGCCUGACAAGUCAGGGGUCAAAGGCAACGGCUCAACCGUUGUAAGCCCUUGAAACUGUCGGGCUUGAGUUCAGGAGAGGAAAGCGGAAUUCCUAGUGUAGCGGUGGAAUGCGUAGAUAUUAGGAGGAACACCAGUGGCGAAGGCGGCUUUCUGGACUGAUACUGACACUGAGGCACGAAAGCGUGGGGAGC